UUUAAAAAAAAAACAACACAUAAAUUCACAGACACACAGUCAGCUAUACUUUACCCAGCAGCUGUAUGUGUCCACAGAAACUCACAUGGCUAAUUUCACUUCGUAGAUGUCUCCUAUGAGGACUCUCUUAACCCCCCCAGCCUCUCCAUCACUGUAUCACAUCACGUUUCACUGUUCCUAUAACCCUCUCCAUUGUGGUCCUCAAAUGUGGAACGAGAAAGGUGUCCAAUUAAUCUACACCUGAAUUUCUCCUGCAACUUGACUUACUAUGGCAGCUGAAUGUCCAAACACUGGCAUUUCACUUCCCAGAGUGGUAAUCUUCUAACUAAAGUCAAAUGAUUAAAGAAUUUCAAGUAA